GACGAACGCUGGCGGCGUGCUUAACACAUGCAAGUCGAACGGAAAGGCCCUGCUUUUGUGGGGUGCUCGAGUGGCGAACGGGUGAGUAACACGUGAGUAACCUGCCCUUGACUUUGGGAUAACUUCAGGAAACUGGGGCUAAUACCGGAUAGGAGCUCCUGCUGCAUGGUGGGGGUUGGAAAGUUUCGGCGGUUGGGGAUGGACUCGCGGCUUAUCAGCUUGUUGGUGGGGUAGUGGCUUACCAAGGCUUUGACGGGUAGCCGGCCUGAGAGGGUGACCGGCCACAUUGGGACUGGGAUACGGCCCAGCCUCCUACGGGAGGCAGCAGUGGGGAAUAUUGCACAAUGGGCGGAAGCCGGAUGCAGCAACGCCGCGUGCGGGAUGACGGCCUUCGGGUUGUAAACCGUUUUCGCCUGUGACGAAGCGUGAGUGACGGUAAUGGGUAAAGAAGCACCGGCUAACUACGUG
rnacentral:rRNA from 1 species